CUGCGCACCACCUCCAGGUUCCGGUCCUUCCACAUGCUCUUGCGCAGCUUGAUGGGCCGGCUGCCCACGUACUUCCCUGCCCGGGGAGGGGACACGGGUGUCACCGGGGCCACCAAGGGUCAUCGGGGGUCAUCAGGGGUCACCAAGUGUCCCCAAAUGUUGCUCAAGUGGCACCAGGGUCACCAAAGUCACCAUGGUCACCAAGGUCGCCAAUGGCCACCAAGGGUCACCAAGUGCCACCAAGAGUCAUCGGGGGUCAUCAAAGGUCACCAAGUGUCCCCAAAUGUUGCUCAAGUGGCACCAGGGUCACUACGGUCUCCAAGGUCACCAAUGGCCACCAAGUGCCACCAAGGGUCAUCGGGGUCACCAAGU